AUGCUUUCCUUUUUCUGGAGGGCCAAAAUCGAAAUUACGAGGGAUUAUAACAAAUGCACCUUACAAUGUGGAAUUUUAUUAAAAAACAAAUACACCUUAUAUAAAGGAAUGGAGGGAGUAAUUAAUCAAGCUUUUCCCAAGGGUGGACAUGGCAGCGGAAUAGUAACAACUACACAGAUCGAAGACAUUGCAGUAGCAUGUUGUUGUUAUCACUCAGAGCAUGUCUUCGAAAUGAAACCUCUAGAUGAUGAUCACUCAAAAAAGCUAACCUAA
rnacentral:rRNA from 1 species